rnacentral:misc_RNA from 1 species
CUCUCUCCCGUUCGUUGUCACGCGUCUUCGCGGCGUGUGCUUGGCGGCCGUAAGCGCUCGAGCGCAGGAAGGAGUCGACGGGGCACGUUUGGGCGAAGCCACCCGGGUCCCAACUGCGCUGCUCGCUGCUCUAGAGCAUCCCACACUGCCAGUAACGCGGACGCUGUGAUCAGGUAGGGCGCCGUAGCAGAGCGUCUUUCUGCAGCGCUGCGAGGAGUUGGCGCGUGAGUGCCCCCCUCCCUCUCCCUCCAAGUGGUGCGAGUGACGGCUGCUGCUAAUCGGGUGAUGCUUCGCUCGUUGUAAGCGACUCCUUUCCCUCCAGUCUCUCUCUCGCCUAGAGCGAAGUGUGCACUUGUCUGCCCUUAUGGAGGCGAACGGCGCCAGCACGCCAGAGGAGAGAGCGGGACAGCUUAGGUGGAUUGCCGAUCAUUUGUGGAGCGAUACGCCUCAUGGCGCCGUGCACCGUGCCGUGGAGGCGCAGCCCCAGCCGGUGUGGCUCCAGCUGUGGCAUCGAGCUUUGGCGGACGGCGCACUGCGGCCGGGGCCGUCCUGUGCGUUGGCGGAUACAUCGGAGCAGGGGGCAAGCUCGAAGGGAAAGGAAAGCGCCGUUAUUGUGGCUGCGUUUGUACUCAGCAUCCCAUACCUUGAAUGCCCGUGCGCCGAAGAAGGAGGAGCCGUGAAGAGCGGCGCGAAAGCGGCAAUGCGGCGCUACGUGUGUGUCUCGCUCGGAUCAGGCUCCCGCUGCCUUGCCGCGCACGAUGCACCCCCGUCUGACGCAGGCGAGAGGGUGAGACGACUCCUUGAACUACGUGACGGUCAUGCCGAGGUGAUGGCGCGUCGUGGCUUUAUUGCUUUUCUGCUUGGGAUAGCGGAGGCGAGCGCACGCUGCAGUGACCGCGCGUACGCCGACCUCUUCCUGCGCAGACGCAGCGGCGACUGCGAUGCCGCCACGGCGGUCGGCGCUUCGGGCUCCCCGCAGUGGGAGCUGCGAGAGACGGCUGCACUGCACCUCGUAUGCACUCGAUGGAUGUGCGGCUCGCUGGCUGCCGUGGCGGGAGGCUCAGGCCGUAGCGGACACCUCCUGUUGCGCGCUGCUUGUGGCUGCUGGCUCAACCCCACCAUGCAAUCGGAGGCUUCAGCAAAAGAGGCGGAUUGUGCGUCUCCCACAGUCACUUAUGUUGACAGACACGCCUUGGCUGCUCACUAUUCGCCGCUCAACGGGGCUGCACCGCUUUUGCACGCUGCACGUGUGAAGCCCGGCAAAGGACGUGCAAACCUCUCGAUGUCUUGCACAGAUAAAGUCUGGCGGUGGCAUGCGCUGGGGGUGCAAGGCCGUCGCCGAGCCCCUAUCUUUCCUGUGCCAAUGCGACUGUCCUCCAUUCAUGUUCUGCAUCCUCCAUUUAAGGACUUGGGGGAUUUGCAGGCAGCAGCGGAUAAUGCAGCGGCCACCUUCCAGUGGCGAAGUCGUAGGUGUUGGCUUCACAAGGACAGCGACGCGACACUGCCAUCGACUCCGAAGUUCGCCUUCUUUAGCAGUGCCGACUUUGCCGCUACAAGUCCGCUGGCAGCCGCGAAGUUACGCGAUGCUGGUGCGUCCAUUGACAGCAACUACUCGCGCAGCCGGUGGCUGUGCGUCAGGUCUGUGGUGGCUAGCCGAAAACGUGGCCGUGACGAGGAGGCGGAGGCACCGGCUUUAGGCAGCGCUACGUGCAGCUGGCAGUGCUUCCGUUCUGGGGGAGACCAUGACUGCUCUCUCGUACUGAACACGAAGGCUGGGCUGCCACAGGGAAUGACAGGGCGCGUGUUGGCGCGACGCUGCAGCACGUCGCCAGAGAUACCAUGGCAGCAGUGCCCCCUCUCCCGUCCGUGGAUGCAUCAUCGCGUAAGGCAGCUACAGGCGUCCCUCACAGAGAUUGCACUGAUCUCUGCGUCCAUGAAGGCGAGUGCGGCUCCGGCAUCGUACGCCAUGGCUGCAAUUGGCGAACGUGAUGCUCAGACGAUCAUUGCUGACGCAGAGAAUCUUUCCAUGAGCCAGCGCGUGCAUCGCCAUCACCUGCAGCCACUGGGCACUGGUGACGACUCCAUACGGCUUCUCUGGGCAUCAUCAUCGCACAUGGAUGGCGCUGAUCUACGCCUACGCGCCACGGAGAACUUCGAAGGCUCGCCGUGAAAAUCUGCACCCGCGUGUGCGCAUGCGUCAGCUUGUGAGAAGUGAUGGUGGUGGUGGACUUUGCGGGCUCGAAAGGCAGCAUCGUCGGACACCAACGGUACUCUCUGCGUGGCCGGUGCCGUUUCACAGCUCUUUCAAGGCAAAAAAAAACGAAAUUUU